rnacentral:lncRNA from 1 species
UGGGAGGGCCUCAAACCCAUGGAUCAGAGGAGGCUCGCUGCCGUCAGAGGCGUCGGACAAGUGAGGUGACCUCGAACCCCCGGAUCUAGGGUGAGUUCAGUGCAGAUGGAGGCGAGGAAUGAGUAGGUCAACCUUUGGGUGGAGUAGCGGAGCAGCAGCAAAGACAGAGCUCGUCGUCACUCGAUACUUCUACGCCACCCUAGCCCAUGUCUGAUAAACAUGCAAAAUCAUUGUUACUUUUUUUGAGUCUUCUCAAAUGACCUAUUGGCCAGGACUCCCAUGCAUGGUCAGCCUCGACCAUGAGUGCCUCCCACAAUUCUUCGGUCCCGAGAGAGCAAAUAAGGAGCUUCGGCUGGAUACAAGGCUAGCUCCUAUUCUUGAGGCUCUCAAACUGACUUUCGUCCAGCACAUUGAAGACAUUGUAGAUGAGCUUGCAAAGGAAUUAAGGUUUUCCUUCUCUAGAUCUCACAAUUGUCUCCUUUCUUAUUUGANNNNNNNNNNNNNNNNNNNNGGCUGGAUCAAGGCUAGCUCCUAUUCUUGAGGCUCUCAAACUGACUUUCGUCCAGCACAUUGAAGACAUUGUAGAUGAGCUUGCAAAGGAAUUAAGGUUUUCCUUCUCUAGAUCUCACAAUUGUCUCCUUUCUUAUUUGAAUCCUGCCAAAAAUUCAAAUUUAAAGUUUGAACACAGACUAGAAGGCAAAAAUAAUUUGGAAAACAAGGGAUUUCCGUAAUCUGCUUCUCUAUUUUAUUGAUUCCCCCAUCUUCGUUACAAGUAGGUAGUGAGCACUGCACCAUAGAGGUCGGGGUUAGCAUAGGUGCGGAAGCAAGAUGUGUCUCCCGCUGCACGUCAUUGCUCCGCCGCAUCAUUUGGAUCGCAGCGGUCUAGAUGUAUACUCGCUAAAUCGGCACACUGAACUGAUCCACGCUUAUCUCCAUGGCUGACAGAGAUGGUAGUGCUGGUGGUGAUGGCGACGCAGGGGCCUCACUACCAGCACGGGCUCUUUAUUUCUGGAAGAGGCGUCAUUGGAAUGCCGUGAAGAAACUGUGGCGCCAUCUCAU